rnacentral:lncRNA from 1 species
CUAACUGCCCCAUCAUAUCCCAGAUCCCAGUCCCUAAACCAGAAGCCCCAAGAGUGAGAAUGGAAUCCCUGAAGUGAGGGAAGAUGCUGCUAGUAGUUAUGGGUGCCAGGUGCUCCCACCUUUACAUUUUUGUUUAUCCCACGCUUUCUUGCCCUAUGCAUUCCCUAUGUCUAAUUUCUGUCUGAGGACCUUGCUCUGGACUCACCUCCUCCGGGAAGACCUCCUGACUCCCUCCCAGCCGAAAGCACUUCCACCCUUCUCCUAGACUGGUCCCGUCCCCCUCCUGAGCCCCAAACC